rnacentral:lncRNA from 1 species
GGAGAGAGAGAGAGGGAGAGAGAGAAAGAACUGUGGAGAUGUCGCAAGGAUGGCAGGGCCACCUCUAUAUAAACACUGGGGGCCGCUUAGCCACAAAAGCAUCUCCUGCAGGAGGAUCUAAUUGAGGACUUGCCUGAAAAACCAAGGAUUGCCGUCACAGACAAUGCCAGCCAAUCGGGAACUGCUGUUUAGAAGAGAUGCUUUCCUGGGCGCUGAUGGAGAGUAGUAAAGGAGCUUGCAGCGGUGCUCAGAUGAGUUUGCUACUGCCCUGUUUCUCACAGACUCCCAGAGUCUGUGUCAUUGACUCUGUGCCAUAUCACCUCCAACCUCUCAUCUCACCCGAGGGCAGGUAGGGCCAAGUGGUCCUAGAUGAUAUAAAAAACCAGACUGAGCAAGCAAUGAGAAGCAAGCCAGUAAACUGCACUCCUCCAUGGCCUCUGCAUCAGCUCCUGCUUCCAAGGUUCCUGUCCUGUUUGAGUUCCUGUCCUGUCUUCCCACCGUGGUGGACUAUUAUUACUGGUUCUACCUCUGCAUCCUUGGCCUGCUCCCUGCCCCCGCUCCACCUUUAAGCUAUCAUCACCUGUUGGGAUGUUGUGGUUUAGAGGGCACGCCAGCCUGUCCUAGCCCUGCUCUACUCUGACUCCUGCUCAGUAGGAAGUGAAGAGUCUCCCUGACAUCCUUCUCCUGCUCCCUGCUACAACACACUCUGAAAGCUCUGAGCUGUGAGCAAAAUCUCCCCUUCUGACAGACUGACUGGUCUAAGAAAAGAAAGGAUGAGGUGAAUCCAUCGAAUCAGAAAAGAGAUCAGUGGCCGUGUUGCUCUUGGGAUGAAAUGGGCAGAUCACGUGACAGUCGACUGAGCACCACUCCAGAGUCAGCUAGGAUGAUGGAUGUGAUGGAAACUUGGGAUAUGCCACACUACAGACCCUAGAAUCCGUUUACUUCAUGACUAUGCUUACUGAUGUCAGCGACACU